UACCCCGUGCUCCGGGAUAGCUAUUCGAAAGGGUAGGUAAUACCGGAUAACAUCGUGAAUCGAUAGGUUCGCGAUCAAAGAUUUAUCGGCGUGGGAGCGGCCUAGUUCCUAUCAGCUUGUUGGUGAGGUAAUGGCUCACCAAGGCAUCGACGGGUAGCGGGACUGAGAGGUUGGCCCGCAACAUCGGAACUGAGACACUGUCCGGACCUCCACGGAGGGCUGCAGUAACGAAUAUUGCGCAAUGGGCGAAAGCCUGACGCAGCGACGCCGCGUGUGGGAUGAAGUUUUUCGGAAUGUAAACCACUUUUCGGGUUAAGAAAGUCUUCGGAUUGAUCUACCCCGGAAUAAGUCACGGCUAACUUCGUGCCAGCAGCCGCGGUAAGACGAAGGUGGCAAGCGUUGUUCGGUAUUACUGGGCUUAAAGCGUGUGUAGGCGGAAAUGUAAGCGUUUUGUGAAAUCCCUCGGCUCAACCGAGGAAUUGCUUGGCGAACUACAUUUCUUGAGGCAAGUAGGGGUACACGGAACUCUUGGUGGAGCGGUGGAAUGCGUAGAUAUCAAGAGGAACGCCGGUGGAGAAGUCGGUGUACUGGGCUUGUCCUGACGCUGAGACACGAAAGCGUGGGGAGCAAACAGGAUUAGAUACCCUGGUAGUCCACGCUGUAAACGAUGUCUACUAGGUCGUGCGGGUUCUGACGCCGGCACGGCCGAAGCUAAAGUGUUAAGUAGACCGCCUGGGGAGUACGGUCGCAAGGCUAAAACUCAAAGGAAUUGAUGGGGGCUCACACAAGCGGUGGAGCAUGUGGAUUAAUUCGAAGCAACGCGCAGAACCUUACCUGGGUUUGACAUGCUUGGAUGCUCUUUGGGAAACCAGAGUAGGCUGCCCUUCGGGGUGAAACUUGCACAGGUGCUGCAUGGCUGUCGUCGGCUCGUGUCGUGAGAUGUUGGGUUGAGUCCUUUAACGAGCGAAACCCUUACCGUUAGUUGCCAGCGAGUCAUGUGGGGGACUCUAACGGGACUGCCGGUGUUAAACCGGAGGAAGGUGGGGAUGACGUCAAGUCCUCAUGGCCUUUAUGCCCAGGGCUUCACACGUGCUACAAUGGUUCGGACAGAGCGACGCAAGACCGCGAGGUGGAGCAAAUCGCAAAAACCGAGCCUCAGUUCGGAUUGCAGGCUGGCAACUCGCCUGCAUGAAGGUGGAAUCGCUAGUAAUCGCGUGUCAGCUAUAACGCGGUGAAUGUGUUCCUGAGCCUUGUACACACCGCCCGUCAAGUGAUGGGAGUUGGGAGUACCCGAAGUCGGAUUGCUAACCAGCAAUGGAGGCGUCUGCCGACGGUAAGCCCGAUGACUGGCACUAAGUC
rnacentral:rRNA from 1 species